rnacentral:rRNA from 1 species
CCUACGGGAGGCAGCAGUGGGGAAUAUUGCACAAUGGUGAAAACCCUGAUGCAGCGACGCCGCGUGAGUGAAGAAGUAAUUCGUUAUGUAAAGCUCUAUCAGCAGGGAAGAAAAUGACGGUACCUGAGUAAGAAGCCCCGUCUAACUACGUGCCACCAGCCGCGGGAACACGUAGGGGGCAAGCGUUAUCCGGAUUUACUGGGUGUAAAGGGGGCGUAGACGGCAGUGCAAGUCUGGAGUGAAAGGCGGGGGCUCAACCCCCGGACUGCUCUUGAAACUGUACGGCUGGAGUGCAGGAGAGGUAAGUGGAAUUCCUAGUGUAGCGGUGAAAUGCGUAGAUAUUAGGAGGAACACCAGUGGCGAAGGCGGCUUACUGGACUGUAACUGACGUUGAGGCUCGAAAGCGUGGGGAGCAAACAGGAUUAGAUACCCUUGUAGUC